CAAUAGCGUAUAUUUAAGUUGUUGCAGUUAAAAAGCUCGUAGUUGGAUUUCGGGUGGGACGCAGCGGUCUCGCAUUGCGUUUGUACUGCUGCAGCCCUCCUUCUUGCCGGGGGCGGCCUCUCGGCCUUCACUGUCUGGGGGUCAGAAUCGGCGAUGUUACUUUGAGUAAAUUAGAGUGUUCAAAGCAAGCUUACGCUCUGAAUAUAAUAGCAUGGGAUAACACGACAGGACUCUGGCCUAUCGUGUUGGUCUAUAGGACCAGAGUAAUGAUUAAGAGGGACAGUCGGGGGCAUUCGUAUUCCGUUGUCAGAGGUGAAAUUCUUGGAUUUACGGAAGACGAACAUCUGCGAAAGCAUUUGCCAAGGAUGUUUUCAUUGA
rnacentral:rRNA from 1 species